GAUGAAGAAGUAGCGAAAUGCGAUAAGUAAUGUGAAUUGCAGAAUUCAGUGAAUCAUCGAAUCUUUGAACGCACAUUGCGCCCGCCAGCAUUCUGGCGGGCAUGCCUGUUCGAGCGUCAUUUCAACCCUCAAGCUCUGCUUGGUGUUGGGGCCCUACGGUUGACGUAGGCCCUUAAAGGUAGUGGCGGACCCUCUCGGAGCCUCCUUUGCGUAGUAACUAACGUCUCGCAUUGGGAUUCGGAGGGACUCUUGCCGUAAAACCCCCAAAUUUUCUAAUGGUUGACCUCGGAUCAGGUAGGAAUACCCGCUGAACUUAAGCAUAUCAAUAAGCGGAGGA
rnacentral:misc_RNA from 1 species